rnacentral:rRNA from 1 species
AGCGACUGUGCAGGUUACCGCGGCUGCUGGCACGGAGUUAGCCGGUGCUUCUUCUGUGAGUGAUGUCCUUCCUGCCGGCUAUUAACCCGCAGGCCUUCUUCCUCACUGAAAGUGCUUUACAACCCGAAGGCCUUCUUCACACACGCGGCAUGGCUGGAUCAGGGUUGCCCCCAUUGUCCAAUAUUCCCCACUGCUGCCUCCCGUAGGAGUCUGGGCCGUGUCUCAGUCCCAGUGUGGCUGAUCAUCCUCUCAGACCAGCUACGGAUCGUCGCCUUGGUGAGCCGUUACCUCACCAACCAGCUAAUCCGACAUAGGCUCAUCCGAUAGCGCGAGGCCCGAAGGUCCCCCGCUUUCCCCCGUAGGGCGUAUGCGGUAUUAGCCUGGGUUUCCCCAGGUUAUCCCCCACU